rnacentral:rRNA from 1 species
GAUGAACGCUGGCGGCGUGCCUAAUACAUGCAAGUCGAACGAAGCGGGGACGCGUGAGUAACACGUGGAUACCCCCCUAUAUGACUGGGAUAAAUUCGUGAAAACGGAGCUAAACCCGCUACUUAUAGCUGGAUCUGUGAUGCAUUGGCUAGUUGGUAAGGUAACGGCUUACCAAGGCAACGAUGAAUAGCCGACCUGAGAGGGGGAUCGGCCACACUGGAACGGAGACACGGUCCAGACUCCUAGGGGAGGCAGCAGUGGGGAAUCUUCCGCAAUGGGCGAAAGCCUGACGGAGCAAGGCCGCGUGGGUGAUGAAGGUCUUCGGAUCGUAAAACUCUGUUAUUAGGGAAGCGGUACCUAAUCAGAAAGCCACGGCUAACUACGUGCCAGCAGCCCCGGUAAUUC